GAAAAGGCUCCUUGGGUCUCCUGCUGCUGACCGUCUUUGGUGAAUUUUCCUUGUAGAGGUUUCCUGCUUUCUACUGCCGAUAUGUAUUUAGAUUCCCCCCGUUCCUUUUGCUUUUUUCGCGUAGGAGGGCUUCAUAAUUUGUUGCAUUUCUUAUGCAUGGAGGAAAAGUAUAGAUGCUUCUACAAUAGCGUCUCUAAAGGGCAAUAGUUUAUUUUAAGGUGAGUAUAGAAAAAUCCCACAUCUCAUAUUUCUU